UAAGUAAUGUCAAAUAAUAAUUCAACAGUUCAAACAACAGAGCCGGAAGAAUAUUCUAAACCAACAAUACAAAAUUCAAGUGAUAAGACUGAUCCACAAACAACAUUUAUACAAUACUGUGCAUAAUACAGUGUAGAGCCUCACACACCUUGAUACUGUGCUGGUCCCUUCCUAGGUGUAGUCAUGGUAGAUGUUCCCUUCCUAGGUGUAGUCAUGGUAGAUGUUCCCUUCCUAGGUGUAGUCAUGGUAGAUGUUCCCUUCCUAGGUGUAGUCAUGGUAGAUGUUCCCUUCCUAGGUGUAGUCAUGGUAGAUGUUCCCUUCCUAGGUGUAGUCAUGGUAGAUGUUCCCUUCCUAGGUGUAGUCAUGGUAGACGUAUUUCUACCAAUUACGGUAAAGCACUAUAUCAUUUAUGUCUCCAUGUGAGGGCCACCAUCACCCUUCACUAUACAUGUGUGUGUGAUGUCUUCAUUUACACCAGAUAUUAUAUACUGUACAGUGACACCAUACUGCUCAGCACAAACACCACCUCAUGUACACUGCUCAGCACAAACACCACCUCAUGUACACUGCUCAGCACAAACACCACCUCAUGAACACUGCUUAGCACAAAC